UUUUGUUUCCAAUGUGUUCUCGGAUUCCCGGCGAGAGUGAGAGUAAGGGAACGCCUUAUUUCUUCAUGUGAUCCUGAGUUCCACACAGCCGUUACACAUUCCAGCUCAAUAUAGCGAAACAAUGGAAGCCCCUCGCUCCUGAUGGAAACGAUGUCUGGAAAACCCUGAGACAGGGUGCCAGUGGGCAGACCUUAAACGAGGUGCAGGGUCAAACAAUUGACGCAAUGAAACACUGAGGAAUGAUCUGGGCUGCUAAGAGCUGACCAACCACAGCCGACGGAAACUUUCCCGCUAACAGAAUGUGACGAUGGGGAUGAACAGAAAACACUGGACUGGGACCAGAUCCAUUAGUCAUGUGCCCAACAGCAAUGUGUGCGAGACCUCCAAACAGCCUCAACAUUAACCUCUGCAGGAGCUCUUUCGCUACACAACAAAAGCCAGCUGUCUACCUCUCUGACCUCCAGUUUACAGCCAGUUCAGAUAGACCAGGAAAAAAACUAAGAUGUGAUCUUCCUCUGGAGCAGUAUCUGCAUACGGCUGUAGAGGAUAAUGAGGAAAGAAUAGCAAGUUUUGAAUACAGAUAUAUAUCUGGCUGCAAAACAGCAUACUGUAGAUGAAGAAAAAAUUUAAAAAUAAACCCUUGAACAUUAAAUAUUAAAA